rnacentral:rRNA from 1 species
GACGAACGCUGGCGGCGUGCCUAAUACAUGCAAGUCGAGCGAAGGGAGGACGGGUGAGUAACACGUGGAUAAACUCGUAUAAGUAUGGGACAAAUGGGGGAAACCGGUGCUAAACGGGCUACUUGUAGGUCGAUCCGCGCUGCAUUAGCUAGUUGGUAAGGUAACGGCUUACCAAGGCAACGCGGCAUAGCCGACCUGAGAGGGUGAUCGGCCACACUGGAACUGAGACACGGCCCAGACUCCGACGGGAGGCAGCAGUAGGGAAUCUUCCGCAAUGGGCGAAAGCCUGACGGAGCAACGCCGCGUGAGUGAUGAAGGUUUUCGGAUCGUAAAACUCUGUUAUUAGGGAAGCGGUACCUAAUCAGAAAGCCACGGCUAACUACGUGCCAGCAGCCGCGGUAAUAC